rnacentral:ncRNA from 1 species
CCUCCGCAAGGUUCGUCCACGGAGGGUGAGUCAGGGCCUAAGAUCAGGCCGAAAGGCGUAGUCGAUGGACAACAGGUCAAUAUUCCUGUACUACCCCUUGUUGGUACGGAGGGACGGAGGAGGCUAGGUUAGCCGAAAUAUGGUUAUAGGUUUAAGGACACAAGGUGACCCUGCUUUUUCAGGGUAAGAAGGGGUAGAGAAAAUGCCUCGAGCCGAGGUCCGAGUACCAAGCGCUGCAGCGCUGAAGUAUG